rnacentral:rRNA from 1 species
GUGGGGAAUAUUGCACAAUGGGGGAAACCCUGAUGCAGCGACGCCGCGUGAGUGAAGAAGUAUUUCGGUACGUAAAGCUCUAUCAGCAAGGAAGAAAAUGACGGUACUUGACUAAGAAGCCCCGGCUAACUACGUGCCAGCAGCCGCGGUAAUACGUAGGGGGCAAGCGUUAUCCGGAUUUACUGGGUGUAAAGGGAGCGUAGACGGUAUGGUAAGUCAGAUGUGAAAGCCCGGGGCUCAACCCCGGGACUGCAUUUGAAACUAUCAGACUAGAGUGCAGGAGAGGUAAGUGGAAUUCCUAGUGUAGCGGUGAAAUGCGUAGAUAUUAGGAGGAACACCAGUGGCGAAGGCGGCUUACUGGACUGUAACUGACGUUGAGGCUCGAAAGCGUGGGGAGCAAACAGGAUUAGAUACCCGAGUAGUCC